rnacentral:rRNA from 1 species
AACGAAUCGCCCUUAAGUUGAUCCUGGCUCAGGACGAACGCUGGCGGCGUGCCUAAUACAUGCAAGUAGAACGCUGAAGGAGGAGCUUGCUUCUCCGGAUGAGUUGCGAACGGGUGAGUAACGCGUAGGUAACCUGCCUGGUAGCGGGGGAUAACUAUUGGAAACGAUAGCUAAUACCGCAUAAGAGUAGAUGUUGCAUGACAUUUGCUUAAAAGGUGCAAUUGCAUCACUACCAGAUGGACCUGCGUUGUAUUAGCUAGUUGGUGGGGUAACGGCUCACCAAGGCGACGAUACAUAGCCGACCUGAGAGGGUGAUCGGCCACACUGGGACUGAGACACGGCCCAGACUCCUACGGGAGGCAGCAGUAGGGAAUCUUCGGCAAUGGACGGAAGUCUGACCGAGCAACGCCGCGUGAGUGAAGAAGGUUUUCGGAUCGUGAAGCUCUGUUGUAAGAGAAGAACGAGUGUGAGAGUGGAAAGUUCACACUGUGACGGUAUCUUACCAGAAAGGGACGGCUAACUACGUGCCAGCAGCCGCGGUAAUACGUAGGUCCCGAGCGUUGUCCGGAUUUAUUGGGCGUAAAGCGAGCGCAGCGCGGUUAGAUAAGUCUGAAGUUAAAGGCUGUGGCUUAACCAUAGUACGCUUUGGAAACUGUUUAACUUGAGUGCAAGAGGG